rnacentral:lncRNA from 1 species
AGUCCUGGAAAUGAUCUUGAUGCUAUCUGUUCCUCGUUACAGCAGACCUGCUCAACUUCAGCAGCUAGAAGGAGGAUUGUCUUUCACCAGCUGCAGGAGCCUGUUCCCACUACAAGCCUGGUGGAGUCUUCGGAGCAGAUGUGACUGUCCUACUUGUAUAGAGAAGAGAAACUGAGGCUCAGAAGAGAUGCCUGGCUGAGUUUAAUAGGACUGCAACAACAAUUUUGCCUUUCUACUUUCUGUGUCCCUCUAGGUUCUCUGAUUGGCUGAAGCUACUCUAAGCCAAGAGAUCAAAGAAGCUGAUAAUGUAGAAUGUAAGUUUGUCUCCUGGGCCACAAUGGAAAGCAGAGACUGUAGCUGGAGGAGUGAAUAGAGGAUAUGCAGCUCUGGUAAUUCUCAGUACAAUUCCCAGUGGUCCACUCUGCAGAAUGAACCAAGUUCCAUUUUGCCCAACUUCUGGCAGUCCACAUUUGGACUGUGAGCUCACCUACAGAUAAAUCGUACGUGGAUUGAUGCAGUAACUGGAUUUGUAGCUGCUAAAUCUUAUUUAAGUGAGGACCUGUCCAGUACAUGUGAAGACCACCCAUCCACUGAAAGUGAUAAGUGAAGCUGAAUCAAUACUAGACUGAAUCAAUACUGAGCUGAAUCAAUACUUUCCCAAUUUUGAGGAAAUCUUGGAAAAUCUCUGAGAAAUGUGGUAGUAAUUAUUUUGAAGAAUUGGAAAACUUUAUAGCUGAUUAUGCUAUGUGUGGAAGAUACAACAGGAUUAUAAGAGAGAGAAGACAAUAUCCUUGCUGUGUCCAGAAGGCUUUAGCCGGGGUGUCCUACUGAGAGAUGACAAACUUAAGGUUUUUCUCUUCCCAGACAUUACUGGACAACUAGCUAUGUAAUUAGGUCUUAUGCCGAAAAGACUGAAAGGAAAACAUCUCAGAUCUAGGAAUGUGAUCAAGAAAGAAGGCUGGUUAAAGAAUAACAUGGGGAAAAUGAAUGCAGUGAAAUGGUUCACGCACAAGUUCUAGGAAUUCAGAGUGCAACAGCAGAAAUGCGAUUUUUGUUAGAUAUUUCAGAAAGUGAUGUGAGUCCCUGAGGUCAUACUGCAGCGUUCAGGUUCUGUUUGGCCUCCUGCACGAAGCUUUCCUUGAUUGGAAAAGCUGCAUACUCUGAAGCACAUCGCAUGUGUCCUGUCUGUAGUUCAUUUCAUUUCCCCAGAUUUGUUAUCAUCCACCAUCACUCAUACAAGCCUACCUUCUUCAUGCCAACCUUUGUAAUCUUUCUACCUUGCUAACCUGGUCAUGUCAAGGACCAGCUAAUAAAUAGCAAAGUUGUACCUUGAGCCAAGGUAUCUUGACUCUUAGUCCAGUGCUCUUUAUAUACCUCUGAAGUCUUAUUUGAGCUUCAAAAUUAUGAGUCUGUGCUCUCAAGAUUUUUUUGAAAAUGUACUUAAUGUUGCCCCUAAGCUUUUAUGAGAAAUAAUAAAGUUCUUUCCA